rnacentral:rRNA from 1 species
AUGCACGAAUGGUCAUAUAUUUUGCAGCCAAUGUCGCCCACAAUCAAGAUAGUAUGCAAGGUAGAAUUCUUCCACAUGUAUUCCUUGGACAUAAACCAGGCCAAGCAAUGGAUAAUAGUGGGAGAUGAGAAUGGAAAUGUUGGUAUUUGGGACUACCAGACACAGAGAAAAGUGGAUUCAAUUAAAGUCAAAACAAGCUAUGCAAGGUCCCGCCUGACUGCAGUUAGCUGCGUUAAAUUUAUUUCAAGAAAGCAAUGGAUUGUUGCUGUAACAAAAAAUUGUAUCCAUGUUUACAACUAUGAAAAGAUGAAAAAGAUCACAAGUUUCAGAAUUGGUAGUGACCAUGAAGAAUUAGUGUCACUGGCCGUUCAUCCAACCAGGCCAUAUUUGCUGUCAGCGGGUAGAUACAUUAAACUUUGGGACUGGGACAAGGGCUGGGAGUGCAUACAGACAUAUGAAUAUGAAGAUAUCGGGACAAUUGUCACAUUUAACCCAAAUGACAUUUUUGCUAGUGCUUCAACGAGUUUACAGAUAGAUUAUUACACAGAUAGCAAAUAUGGCGGCAUGGGCGAUGUUUCAACGAGUUUAAAGGGUGACUACACUGUGAAGGUUUGGGGUUUUGAUUCUCCCAAAUCGAUAUACACUCUGUCUGGGCACUCAAAACAAGUGAACUGCCUGGAUUUCUUCAUAUGUCACGAUCACGAGUUUUUAGCUACAGGCUCAGAUGAUAAGACUACAAAGAUAUGGUAUUUGCAGGACAAGAUAUGUGCAUAUACACUUGAAGCUUUCGUAUCACCUGUAACAUCAGUUCUGUACCAACCCAAUCGUCAGACUCUAAUUACAGGUUCAGAAGAUGGCGCUAUUUGUUUGUGGAGCACAACAGAUUGCAGAAUGUACUCAUGCCCACCCACGCUUAAGGGGAUAAUCAAGAUUGGUUGUGUUGGAGCUGUCUACCACCUCGCGUGUGCGAUGGGAAGGGUUGUCAUUGGGAAAGAAAACUCAAUAGCAAUUAUGGAUAUCGAUAGUGAGCAGUCAACAGAUUAUAGUGAGGAACAGUUAAGUGCAGAUACGAGUCAAUAUACUGGAGACACAACGCCUAAGAUGGAGAUGAUUUCCGAAGCAAACCAUGUGUCACUGGAACAUAUGGAAUCCGAGCCACGCCAUGCGUCAUUGGAAGAGACCGAAUCCAAACAAUACCAUCUGCCAUUACAACAUUUGAAGGACAUCACAAAUAACUUCUGUAAUGAGAGAGUACUUGGUAGAGGUGGUUUUGGUGUGGUAUAUAAGGGAGUGCUACAAAAUGGGACAGUGGUUGCGGUAAAGAAGUUUGUGCAGGCAGAACCCAGCUCACAGAAGCAAUUUGAGAACGAGGCUAAUCUUCUUAUGAAACUGGAGCACCCAAAUAUAGUGCGACUUCUAGGCUACUGCAGUGAAACACAACAUUUGCAUACGCCUCACGAAGGAAAAUAUGUUUUUGCUGAGAACACUGAAAGUUUGCUUUGCUUGGAAUUCUUGCCCAAUGGAUGUCUUGAUAAGUAUAUUUCAGAUGAAUUUUCUAAACAUGAUUGGCGCACACGGUGGAAUAUAAUUGAGGGUGUUUGCCUUGGUCUACGGUACCUUCAUGAGCAAUCUGAUGGUCCCAUCGUUCACUUGGACAUAAAACCUGCGAACAUAUUGCUUGAUGAAAAUAUGUUACCAAAAAUUGCAGACUUUGGUCUGUCAAGACUAUUUGAUAAAAAACUAACUAUUUCGACUAAACAUACUAUUGGAACACUAGGUUACAUCUCACCAGAAUACUUUCGAGGUAUAAUCACGCCUAAGUCCGACAUAUUCAGUUUGGGUGUAGUAAUCUUGGAGGUAAUUACGGGACACAGGAACUAUCCGUAUGAUAUUAGAAGAUCCUCCGAGGACUUCAUCCAGACUGAACUUCAAAAAUGGAGAACUGUGCUGCGGGAAGAACCAACAUUGAAAUCAGUAGAUAAAGAUUGCGAACAAAUAAAAAGAUGCAUUCAGAUAGGUUUAAUCUGCGUGAACCUUGAGCAGACAAAAAGACCUACAAUGAAGGAAAUUAUCAAUAUGCUUCAAGGGGUGGAAAGUAUGGAUCAGUACAUUAGCAAUGAGACGCCGCCGCUCCUCCUUCAGCAAGCUCCAGCCCAACACAGCCGUGACGCCCGCUGGAGCACAUGGCAGGCUCGCUGCGUUGGGUGUCCGUCCUUUGGGGAUCGGGAGCCUGCUGCCUGCUUCCUGCCCGAGGAGCACGUGUCCAGCUCGAUGAACAUGUGCACGCGCCGUGCUCGUCCAGUUCAAGGAGCACGCGACCGCUGUACUCCCGUCCACGCGAGCUAG